GAUGAACGCUGGCGGCGUGCCUAAUACAUGCAAGUCGAGCGAACAGACGAGGAGCUUGCUCCUCUGACGUUAGCGGCGGACGGGUGAGUAACACGUGGAUAACCUACCUAUAAGACUGGGAUAACUUCGGGAAACCGGAGCUAAUACCGGAUAAUAUAUUGAACCGCAUGGUUCAAUAGUGAAAGACGGUUUUGCUGUCACUUAUAGAUGGAUCCGCGCCGCAUUAGCUAGUUGGUAAGGUAACGGCUUACCAAGGCAACGAUGCGUAGCCGACCUGAGAGGGUGAGCGGCCACACUGGAACUGAGACACGGUCCAGACUCCUACGGGAGGCAGCAGUAGGGAAUCUUCCGCAAUGGGCGAAAGCCUGACGGAGCAACGCCGCGUGAGUGAUGAAGGUCUUCGGAUCGUAAAACUCUGUUAUUAGGGAAGAACAAAUGUGUAAGUAACUAUGCACGUCUUGACGGUACCUAAUCAGAAAGCCGCGGCUAACUACGUG
rnacentral:rRNA from 1 species